UACGAAGGGGGCUAGCGUUGUUCGGAAUUACUGGGCGUAAAGGGCGCGUAGGCGGUGCUCUAAGUUAGAUGUGAAAACUCUGGGCUCAACCCAGAGCCUGCAUCUAAAACUGGAGUGCUGGAGUCCUAGAGAGGGUCGUGGAAUUCCCGGUGUAGCGGUGAAAUGCGUAGAGAUCGGGAGGAACACCAGAGGCGAAGGCGGCGACCUGGAUAGGUACUGACACUCAACUACGAAAGCGUGGGGAGCAAACAGG
rnacentral:rRNA from 1 species